rnacentral:tRNA from 1 species
GGUCUUAUAUUCAAAUAUGAUAUUAGAAUGCAAUUUUAAUGGUGUAAAAUAUACUAAGACUU